CCAGCAAGCCUUCCUCUUCAGACCUCAGUACACUGAGCACCUCUCCCUCCAAUCCCCUUAGAAAUCCAGGAGGAAAGGGGGCCAGGACUCAUUUCUCUUAAGAAUAAUAGCUAGCAUUGAUCUGUUGACGGAAAGCUUGCAGAACACUUUAUCUACGUGAUCUCAUCUGAUUCCAAGAAAUGGAUUUCCACAGAAUUGGAAUUACAGCAGAGUGAUAAAGGAUAAGACCCUGGGGUGCCAGUAUUUAGAAGGACCUGGCAGCAUUUUUAGCAUUGUAGAAACAAUAAGCUGGCUUUCUCUACUGGUCACAACUCAGAAUCACAGGAUUUGAGAAAUGGAGGGGGCCCCAGCAGUCAUCUGAUCCAACGUAUCCCUGAAAAGAAUCUCUAGCAUAGGAUACCACUAAGGAGUCAUCCAAUCUCUCCUUGAAGACCUCAAUUUGGGGAAAGCCACCACCUCUUGAUGCAGCCCAUUCCACAUUUGGACAGCUCUAAUCGUUGUCUGCAGUAAAUUCUAAGUCAAGUUAAGUCAACAAGUAUGCCAGAUACUCUGCAAAGUCCUGGGAAUAAAAAUACAGAUAGAAAGUCCCUGCCCUGAAGGAGCUUAUAUUAUACCGGAGAAGACAACAUAUCAAAGGAAGAACAAAAGAAAGGAGAAGGAAGGAGAUAAAGUACCCAUGUGGAGGAAUGGUAGGGAGUGUGCAGAGUCAGGACCCUAGAGAGGAUGAAGACAUGAUAGAGUGGGCAUUUUACUUCAAAUGGAGGUUUUACAAGGAAACAACCAAUCAAAAGAAAGAGUCUUGAGGCAGAGUACUUCCAAUAUGAGAAGUCCAAGGGUAGAUUAAACUUCCAGGGUAAGGAGGCUUCUAUGUCAUGGUAGAGAAAUUCUAGAGAGUCAGGAAUGGAGCCAGGAGAAGAAUGAAUGAACAAAUGAGUUUUGGAAAAAGGUAGGAGUUCCAUUUUGGACAUGUUGAGUUUAAUAUAUCUAAUAGGUAGCUAGACAUGUAAGACUAGAGUUCAGGAGAGAGUUUAGAGCUGAAGAGGUAGAUCAGAAUGUCAUUUGAGUAGAGAUAAUAGUUGAAACUAGGGGAGUUGCUGAUCUCAUCAAGUGAAUUAGUAUUGAGGAGAAGAGAAAAUGUCCCAGCACAGAGUCUUUGGGGAUACCUCUGGCUACAGGUAUGAACUAGAUGAAGAUCCACCAAAGGAGAUGGAGAAAGAGUGGUCAGACAAGUAGGAGGAGAAUCAGGAGAGAAGAGUAUACCAAUAGAAGUAUGAUACCCCACAAAAGAAAAAUGAGUCUUUUAUGCCAUGGAUAGCUCUGACAAAAGAUUCCCAAACAUGAGGAAUGUGAGAGGAGAAAGACUAAGGCAGCAGCAGGAAAAGUGGGGUAGAAAAUCCUAUAAUAGGGAUGUCAAGAAAAGUUCUUAUAAAGUUAUUCAGCUCAACAACAUUUAUUUAAUGUAUCAAUACAUCAUGUCUCAUAGCAGAUUCCCCAAGGCUCUUUUCCCACCUUUCCUAGUUUUGUCUUCAAGCCUUCUUAGAGUCACUUUUUAAAGCUAAUUAUUUUUAAGUUCUUGUUUCUUAACUACUUUAAGUAUCUCUUCUGCCAUUGCAGAAUUAGGAAUGAAAAAACAGCCACUAUUUCUUACAAUUUGAAUCCAAACCAAACAUUGCAAGAACAUCUAGUGUUCAUCAGAUGUAGAAUGUAGAUAAUCAAUACCCCAAAGAUCUCAUAAGACUGUGCUAACAUUUAUAUUUGGGAAUUUGUCUAGUAGUUGCGGCGCCUCCCAGUGAAAAACUGAUGAAACAUUAUGCCCACAAAGUUGGAAUCAAUUCUCAAAUUAAAUUUGUUUUUCUUUCCCAUGAAGUAUGAGAAUAACCCAGACUUUUUUCUUCUAAUAAAGAAAGAGAACAAAUUGGAUUUUUUCCUCCAUUGGAAGGAAAAGAGGGAUAGAAGAAAGGGAUAAGAAGGGAAAACAAAAAAAGGAAAUAGGGAUGGGAAGAAUAUUCAUAAGGAAAAUUUUGUCCCUCUUCUGUGAACUCUGAGUAGAUGUAUUUGGGAAGA